CCACUAGCGUAUAUUAAAGUUGUUGCAGUUAAAAAGCUCGUAGUUGAAUUUCGGGGUUAGUAGGUUGGUCAUGCCUCUGGUAUGUACUGGUCUCACUGAUUCCUCCUUCCUGAUGAGCCGUAAUGCCAUUAAUUUGGUGUUGCGGGGAAUUUGGACUGUUACUUUGAAAAAAUUAGAGUGUUUCAAGCAAGCUAACGCUUGAAUACAUUAGCCUGGAAUCAUGAAAUAGGACGUUCGAUCCUAUUUUGUUGGUUUCUAGGAUUGACGUAAUGAUUAAUAGGGAUAGUUGGGGGCAUUAGUAUUCAAUUGUCAGAGGUGAAAUUCUUGGAUUUAUUGAAGACUAACUACUGCGGAAGCAUUCGCCAAGGAUGUUUUCAUUAAUCAAGAACGAAAGUUAGGGGAUCGAAGACGAUCAGAUACCGUCGUAGUCUUAACCAUAAACUAUGCCGACUAGGGAUCGGAUGAUGUUAAUUUUUUAAUGACUCAUUCGGCGCCUUACG
rnacentral:rRNA from 1 species